rnacentral:rRNA from 1 species
CCUACGGGGGGCACCAGUGGGGAAUAUUGCACAAUGGGCGCAAGCCUGAUGCAGCUAUGCCGCGUGUGUGAAGAAGGCCUUCGGGUUGUAAAGCACUUUCAGCAAGGAGGAAGGUGGUGAACUUAAUACGUUCAUCAAUUGACGUUACUCGCAGAAAAAGCACCGGCUAACUCCGUGCCAGCAGCCGCGGUAAUACGGAGGGUGCAAGCGUUAAUCGGAAUUACUGGGCGUAAAGCGCACGCAGGCGGUUUGUUAAGUCAGAUGUGAAAUCCCCGGGCUCAACCUGGGAACUGCAUUUGAAGCUGGCAAGCUAGAGUCUCGUAGAGGGGGGCAGAAUUCCAGGUGUAGCGGUGAAAUGCGUAGAGAUCUGGAGGAAUACCGGUGGCGAAGGCGGCCCCCUGGACGAAGACUGACGCUCAGGUGCGAAAGCGUGGGGAGCAAACAGGAUUAGAUACCCGCGUAGUC